GGCCAAGCCGCGAGGCGGAGCCAAUCCCUAAAGCCGGCCUCAGUUCAGAUUGUAGGCUGCAACUCGCCUGCAUGAAGCUGGAGUUGCUAGUAACCGCAGGUCAGCUAUACUGCGGUGAAUACGUUCCCGGGUCCGUU
rnacentral:rRNA from 1 species